rnacentral:misc_RNA from 1 species
GUUACUGCAGAAGCUGCUUUUCUAUUUCCCUCCAAAUUCUGAUACUGAAUUAAACAGUUAUGUUCUUGGUGAUAAGUCAAUACUAAAAGAUGCUGGGAUUGAAGAUUUGAAGGAUGUGGAAGCAUUGCCACCACCUCCAGAAAUUAAAGAUGCCCCAAGGUACAAAGGGGAUGUUAGUUAUUUCAUCUGUACAAGACCAGGCCGGGGUCCGGUUUUGCUCUCUGAUGAAAGUCAGGCUCUUCCCUGAAACUGGGCUCCCUAAAUAAAAGGGGCAUCCGUUGGCCCUUUUCUUUCACUUCUGUUAUCUUGUGGUGUCGAGGCAAACCUCACUUUGAGCCUGAUGAUUGUUUUCUGUAAUUGAAGUUACAGGGAAGCAAUCCUCUGUAACUGUUCCUUACGAACUUGCAGUGAUGCGGCUUUUGUCUUGCAUUUGUAAUUCAUUUUUUUGCUUCAGGGUCCAUUUAGAGUUUACUUACUCGUGAAGAACAGUUCAUUUAAGUUUCUUUCAGCCGCAAGUCUUGAAAUAGCUUAUACAGUGAUU